rnacentral:rRNA from 1 species
UACGUAGGGUCGCAGCGUUGUCCGGAAUUAUUGGGCGUAAAGGGCUCGUAGGCGGUUUGUCGCGUCGGGAGUGAAAACUCAGGGCUCAACCCUGAGCGUGCUUCCGAUACGGGCAGACUAGAGGUAUGCAGGGGGAGAACGGAAUUCCUGGUGUAGCGGUGGAAUGCGCAGAUAUCAGGAGGAACACCGGUGGCGAAGGCGGUUCUCUGGGCAUUACCUGACGCUGAGGAGCGAAAGCAUGGGGAGCGAACAGG